GACGAACGCUGGCGGCGUGCCUAAUACAUGCAAGUCGAGCGAAGUUUUUCUGGUGCUUGCCCUAGAAAAACUUAGCGGCGCACGGGUGAGUAACACGUAAAGAACCUGCCUCGUAGACUGGGACAACUAUUGGAAACGAUAGCUAAUACCGGAUAACAGUAUUUCUCGCAUGAGAGAUAUUUAAAAGUUGGUUAUGCUAACACUAUGAGAUGGCUUUGCGGUGCAUUAGCUAGUUGGUGGGGUAAAGGCCCACCAAGGCGACGAUGCAUAGCCGACCUGAGAGGGUGAUCGGCCACACUGGGACUGAGACACGGCCCAGACUCCUACGGGAGGCAGCAGUAGGGAAUCUUCCGCAAUGGGCGAAAGCCUGACGGAGCAACGCCGCGUGAGUGAAGAAGGAUUUCGGUUCGUAAAGCUCUGUUGUUAGGGAAGAAUGGAUAUGUAGUAACUAUACAUGUAAGAGACGGUACCUAACCAGAAAGCCACGGCUAACUACGUG
rnacentral:rRNA from 1 species